rnacentral:rRNA from 1 species
UUAAAGGGCUGCAGUAUAUUGACUGUACAAAGGUAGCAUAAUAAUUAGUCUUUUAAUUGAAGACUUGUAUGAAAGAUUUGAUGAGAUAUAAACUGUCUCUUUUUUAUAAUUUGAAUUUAAUUUUUUAGUAAAAAAGCUAAAAUUUAUUUAAAAGACGAGAAGACCCUAUAGAGUUUUAUAAUUAAAUUAAUUAUGAAUUUAUAUUUAAUUUAAAAAUUAAUUAUUUUAAUUAUUUUAUUGGGGUGAUAAAAAAAUUAAUUUAACUUUUUUUUUAAAAUAAACAUUAAUUAAUGAAUAAAUGAUCCAUUUUUUAUGAUUAUAAGAAAAAAUUACCUUAGGGAUAACAGCGUAAUUUUUUUUUUUAGUUCUUAUAAAAAAAAAAGUUU